UGAUAGAAGAACUGGCUUUAGCCAGCUAUUGACAGCUCUUGACCUCAAGGGUCAACUAGGACUAGUGCGAUCAUAGUGGACCAUGGAACCAGACCAAACAAGCAGGGAGCUGAGCUCUGCCAGAGUACAAGGUCAGUUCCAAAGCCAUGUAAGAAGCUUUCUGAUUGGAGAGACCUCUGGAUGCAAGACAGAUGAAACACCAGGCUUCACUGUCUAGUUAGAAGUCAGUCCAGUGCAGGAAGGCUCACACAGCCUCACCUUGAAACACCCUGACUAUUGCUUCUCCAGGUACACUGUCUGCUUGGAUGUACUGAAGUGGUCAUCUCUGUUUGCUGUAGCCACGACAAUGUCCAAGCAGAGCAUCAUCUGACUGACUACUCCCUAUUCUCUACCCUCUGCCUUGCUUAGGAGAAUCUCUGGACCAUCCCCCAAGAUCAAAGCUUUAUUACCUAUGUUCUUAGUUAAGUACUGGUAUUGUUACUCUAUUCUAGAACUCCCCCCCCCCCACUGUUUCCUAAAGCUGUAAGUUUGGCUGGGUAGGGAAGGGGCCAUAUAAACAGAAGAGCCUUACAGGAAUCCCUCACUUCAGAUAGUGCUGGCCGAGUGCUCAGACUAUGAUCCUGAAGAUAGACAUGUGGCUUGAUUCCCAGAUGUGUGAUCAAUCCUUGAAGGCACCUACAUUCCACACUCUCUUCAUUGCUACCAUAAAAUAGUGUAUAAACAAUACUGACCUAAGACCAUGACUGGAGAAUCACACAGGAGGAACUGAUAUGCCUCGGACACAAGCUACCACUGUGGACUAGCUAUUAUUUCCUCAAGACCAAAUCCCAAGCAAUACCUCACUUCAUGUCUGCAAUUCUCAGUUGGGUAAUCUUCAUCUGAGAAAUAUUUUUUCCAAGUCUAAAGCUUAUUGUUUAUA